UAUAUUGAGGACCUAUACUGAGACCUAGGA
rnacentral:piRNA from 1 species